GUCGAGAAUCUUUCACAAUGGGGGCAACCCUGAUGGAGCGACGCCGCGUGGAGGAUAAGGUCUUCGGAUUGUAAACUCCUGUCAUGCGUGAACAAGGUUGCUUGGUUAAUACCUGGGCAAAUUGAUGGUAACGCAAGAGGAAGAGACGGCUAACUCUGUGCCAGCAGCCGCGGUAAUACAGAGGUCUCAAGCGUUGUUCGGAAUCACUGGGCGUACAGGGUGCGUAGGUGGCGUGGUAAGUCAGAUGUGAAAGCCCGGGGAUCAACCUAGGAACUGCAUGCGAUACUACCAUGCUAGAGUACUGGAGAGGUGACUAGAAUUCUCGGUGUAGCAGUGAAAUGCGUAGAUAUCGAGAGGAAUACCAAAGGCGUAGGCAGGUCACUGGACAGUUACUGACACUGAGGCACGAAGGCCAGGGGAUCGAACAGGAUUAGAUACCCUUGUAGUCC
rnacentral:rRNA from 1 species